GGAAAACUUGGUGCAUGAAUACCUGGAGCACUUGCAGAAUAUGCAAAGGAUAAAGGGAAAUAAAACAGAACAAGAGGCAAACGGAAAAACCCCAGAACAAGACAGAAGACAUAUGACUACUGUAUGAAUGGGGGAAACAAGUAGAACCUAAAGAAAUCGGUAAGCUACUAUAUGUGGCAGAACUUGAUAAGUAUCUCAAUUAUCACAAGUUGAACAGGAAAGGAAAGAAGCCGGAUAAGGUAUUCAAAACCAUAGCGUUAAAUAUCAAUACUGUCCAUUGCAACUCGAUGCAAUUUAGCCACUUCCUCUCUGUGUAAGUUAUUAUGAUUUAUGUAUGAAGAGGAACAGGAGUAUUCAGAGCGUGGAAAUACCAUGUACUGUAGACAGUGAUGACGACGAGAGUGAAUUAGAGGAACUGGAUACUGUGGAGAGUGUGCGUGAAACUGAAAUGUCUGAUAACA